rnacentral:rRNA from 1 species
GAUACUGACACUGAGUGCGAAAGCGUGGGAGCAAACGGGAUUAGAUACCCCGGUAGUCCACGCCGUAAACGAUGUCUACUAGCCGUUGGAGGACUUGAUCCUUUAGUGGCGCAGCUAACGCGAUAAGUAGACCGCCUGGGGAGUACGGUCGCAAGAUUAAAACUCAAAUGAAUUGACGGGGGCCCGCACAAGCGGUGGAGCAUGUGGUUUAAUUCGAAGCAACGCGAAGAACCUUACCUACUCUUGACAUCCAGUGAACUUUUGAGAGAUCAAUUGGUGCCUUCGGGAACACUGAGACAGGUGCUGCAUGGCUGUCGUCAGCUCGUGUUGUGAAAUGUUGGGUUAAGUCCCGUAACGAGCGCAACCCUUGUCCUUAGUUACCAUCAUUAAGUUGGGGACUCUAAGGAGACUGCCGGUGACAAACCGGAGGAAGGCGGGGACGACGUCAAGUCAUCAUGGCCCUUACGAGUAGGGCUACACACGUGCUACAAUGGCAUGUACAAAGGGUUGCCAAGCCGCGAGGUGGAGCUAAUCCCAUAAAGCAUGUCGUAGUCCGGAUUGGAGUCUGCAACUCGACUCCAUGAAGUCGGAAUCGCUAGUAAUCGUGAAUCAGAAUGUCACGGUGAAUACGUUCCCGGGCCUUGUACACACCGCCCGUCACACCAUGGGAGUGGGUUGCUCCAGAAGUAGAUAGCUUAACCUUCGGGAGGGCGUUUACCACGGAGUGAUUCAUGACUGGGGUGAAGUCGUAACAAGGUAGCCGUA